UACGUAGGGUGCGAGCGUUGUCCGGAAUUAUUGGGCGUAAAGAGCUCGUAGGCGGUGUGUCACGUCGUUCGUGAAAACCUGCAGCUUAACUGUGGGCGUGCGGUCGAUACGGGCAUCACUGGAGUUCGGCAGGGGAGACUGGAAUUCCUGGUGUAGCGGUGAAAUGCGCAGAUAUCAGGAGGAACACCGGUGGCGAAGGCGGAUCUCUGGGCCUGUCCUGACGCUGAGGCGCGAAAGCGUGGGGAGCAAACGGG
rnacentral:rRNA from 1 species